GUUGAAACACUGGUUUCCAAAUGAUCACUGAAGUUAAGCAAUAUCUAGCCUGGCCCGUACUUAGAUGGGUGACCGUUUGGGAAUACCAGGUGGUG